rnacentral:misc_RNA from 1 species
GAUGAAGAACGCAGCGAAAUGCGAUACGUAAUGUGAAUUGCAGAAUUCAGUGAAUCAUCGAAUCUUUGAACGCACAUUGCACUCUCUGGUAUUCCGGAGAGUAUGCUUGUUUGAGUAUCAGUAAACACCUCAAAUCUCUUGUUUCUUGUGAAUAAGAGAAUUGGACUUGAGCAAUCCCAACUCUUGCAAAAGAGGCGGGUUGCUUGAAAUGCAGGUGCAGCUGGACAUUCUUCUGAGCUAAAAGCAUAUUUAUUUAGUCCCGUAAAACGGAUUAUUACUCUUGCUGCAGCUAACAUAAAGGUUGAAUGGCCAAUAUGGCUGACUGAUGCAGGAUUAACAGAGAAUUUAUUCUUUGUAAACUCGAUCUCAAAUCAAGUAAGACUACCCGCUGAACUUAAGCAUAUCAAUAAGCGGAGGA